ACGAUUGCCCUGGAACUUGCUUUGUAGACC
rnacentral:piRNA from 1 species